rnacentral:rRNA from 1 species
UACGUAGGGUGCGAGCGUUGUCCGGAAUCACUGGGCGUAAAGGGCGCGUAGGCGGCAUGCCAAGCGUGUGGUGAAAGCCCGGGGCUCAACCCCGGGUCGGCCGUGCGGACUGGCGUGCUCGAGCACUGUAGGGGCGGGUGGAAUUCCGGGUGUAGCGGUGGAAUGCGUAGAGAUCCGGAAGAACACCGGUGGCGAAGGCGGCCCGCUGGGCAGGAAGGCUCGCAAGAGCCGGCUGACGCUGAGGCGCGACAGCGUGGGGAGCAAACAGG